UCGAGAUGGUGAGGGAGAGGGAGGGAGAGAGUGGAAGAGGGAGGGAGGGGGAUAGGCAGAGGGAAACGAUUGCAGACUUUAGAAGUCUGCAAGGAGAAGCUAAGCAAUCCGUUUCAGAGAGGCGAGGCAGGAGAAAUCAAAAGGCGGAAAGAAGUUUCAGAAGACGGGGCCAGAUCCACCUGUAGAUCACUCGCUUCGGGGUCUCGCUGAACUGCAACCACUAGUAUACCGACAGGAAGGCGAUGUCAGCCCUCCCUCCUAACCUCUCCGACCAGACGACCUUAAAGGAGUGGACAUGUGUGCCUUUGGAGGUAGCUGGGCGACCCCAGUUCGGUGAACGGGGGAACGGUGCACCCUGGUGGCAGGAGGGCUGUACUGCAACGUGAGGAGGAAAGGGCUGACAGGCUGGAAUGUUUUGGAGCGCACUUCAGGCAAGAGAGGAGCUUCUCUGAAAACGAAGACAUCUCAUGUUUCUGUUUCAUGUUAUAAUUAUAUAAUUAAAUCCAAUAAGAAAGCUCUUUAAAAUAUCGUUGAGUUAUAACACGGAAAGGGUUUGGGCAUUUCCUUUUUAAAGACUGACUCCUUUAUAAAAGUAAGCCACAAUCAAUGUUGAUUACAAGGCGUUUGUGUAUGUGUGUGUGUGUGUGUGUGUGUGUGUGUGUGUGUGUGUGUGUGUGUGUGUGUGUGUGGUCAAAUGCUGUGCUUUUCAUCAGCUAUGUGCAAUGUAAUCUUACAUUUUAAAAGCAAGCCUAUAUUGUACAUAAUUAUUUUAAAUGUACCUGUGGCUGAAACAGCAGUGGUAUGAUUGUCAAGGUGAAAAAGCCCUCUCAUGAGUUUACACACAUAAAUACCAGAAACACCAAAAGAAUAAUAUAUAAUAAAAUAAUAAUAAAUUAAAUGACAACCCAUAGCUGUGUUGUAUAAAGAAAAAAAAAAGAACGGCAUUGUGAUUGAGUGAGUCAUUUACAGAGAUAUAUAGAUAGAGAGAGAGAGAGAGAGAGAGAGAGAG